rnacentral:ribozyme from 14 species
UAAAAAAAGAAGGGCAGCAUAUGUAUAAAAAGGGAAAGGAGGGCAAACAUCAACUUCUUCUUCUUCUUCUUCUUCUUUUUUUU